UACGGGGGGAGCAAGCGUUGUUCGGAUUUACUGGGCGUAAAGGGCGCGUAGGCGGAUGCGCGCGUGGGGUGUGAAAUCUGGCCGCUUAACGGCCAGGCGCCAUCCCAUACGGCGCGUCUGGAGUGAUGCAGAGGUCGGUGGAAUUGCCGGGUGUAGUGGUGAAAUGCGUAGAGAUCGGCAGGAACACCCAGGGGGAAACCAGGUCGACU
rnacentral:rRNA from 1 species